UGGAUCACCACAUCGACCGAUAAAACGUCGGGCAACGGUCGGCGACGUCGAUCGUCGCAAGCGGAUCUCGGUAGUCGUGUGGUGCAACGCGUGUGUGCCUGGCGUUUACGCCCCUCGGUAAAUCAAUCACACGCCACGGUCCGUGCGCGCGGACGCGUUGUUUUUACGGGUCCGUCGCGUCGUGUCCGGGCUCCUUGGUCGCGUACGCCGGUCACGCCUCCCGCAGCGGAGCGAAAGGCGUCGUUUACUACGGCGUCGCGUCCGUCUGAAACCGUAAUUCAUCUUUCCGGAUGUCGGGACGGUUCGGGGGCGGCUGACCUCCGAGAGAGUUUCGAAAUCAUCCGGCGGUCGUUCGACGGCGUUCCAUAAAACGAGAGACGAGUUUGUUCGGUUUGACGGCCGCACGCCGGCGGGAGGGGUUAAAAAAAACAACGGCGCAACGACGGUGUAACGAGAAUCGCGCUGGCACAAAGCGAUAGAGUCGCGCGCCGUUCGCCUUUGUGAUUCAGAGCAGACACGCCGGAGAUCGCGCAGGGGUGUGGGACAGGCAGACAGACAGACGAUAUACGUGAAAGCUCGGGAGGUGGAACAUCCGCUAAUUGGAUAAUUACGGAGUGCGCCGCGUUUGUUUUAUAAUUGGGCGAAGCCCGUGGAACAGUUCCUAGCCUCGACGUGCCAAACAACGAAACGGCCGGAGUCACGCUCUACGUGACGAACUACCCUCGCAGCUAAUCCGAACACCGGAACCCCUCGGUUCUAGCAGCUCGCCCGCCCCCUGCCGCGACGGGCUCGUGGCUCCCGUCACUGUCUCUGACCCCCACGAGACCCGACUCUGCCCCCCUUCACACCCCUUCAUCCACACCCUACUCGGACAAGCAUCGCCAAGAUUCUAGGAAAGCGGAAUCAAUUUUUGACGCUGUCGAGCCUGAUCGAAUUAGACGGAAUCGUUGAUAAACGGGGCCUCGGAUGAUCACACGUGUAAACGUCAUAAAGUAAAUUGCUUGGAAGAGUUUGUUAAACAGACUAUUGUAACGAGGCUGGAAUUAUUGGUUGUACCUUAGGCAAUCCGCAGUGUACUGGAUGUAAGUAACGGUACUUGCAGUUGGGGUAAUUAAUAAAAAUAAAUAACAGCACAUACAGAUCAUGUAUGUUGAAAGAAAACAAUUAUACGAAAUCUAUCAAAA